rnacentral:rRNA from 1 species
UAAGUGAAUAGUGAAACCUGGUGGCUCAACCAUACAGACUAUUAUUCAAACUGUUAAACUCGAGAGUGGUAGAGGUAACUGGAAUUUCUAGUGUAGGAGUGAAAUCCGUAGAUAUUAGAAGGAACACCAAUGGCGUAGGCAGGUUACUGGACCAUUUCUGACGCUAAGGCACGAAAGCGUGGGGAGCGAACUGGAUUAGAUACCCUGGUAGUCCACGCCCUAAACGAUGCGAACUG